GAUGAACGCUGGCGGCGUGCCUAAUACAUGCAAGUCGAGCGAACGGACGAGAAGCUUGCUUCUCUUCUGUUAGCGGCGGACGGGUGAGUAACACGUGGAUAACCUACCUAUAAGACUGGGAUAACUUCGGGAAACCGGAGCUAAUACCGGAUGAUAUCUUGAACCGCAUGGUUCAAAAGUGAAAGACGGUCUUGCUGUCACUUCUAGCUGGAUCCGCGCUGCAUUAGCUAGUUGGUAAGGUAACGGCUUACCAAGGCAACGAUGCAUAGCCGACCUGAGAGGGUGACCGGCCACACUGGAACUGAGACACGGCCCAGACUCCUACGGGAGGCAGCAGUAGGGAAUCUUCCGCAAUGGGCGAAAGCCUGACGGAGCAACGCCGCGUGAGUGAUGAAGGCCUUCGGAUCGUAAAACUCUGUUAUGAGGGAAGAACAAAUGUGGAAGGAACUGUGCACAGCGGGACGGUACCUAAUCAGAAAGCCACGGCUAACUACGGG
rnacentral:rRNA from 1 species